UUUGCAUAUCUAAAAUUUGUAUAUUAAAUCCGAUGCAUUGCUCACUUGCUUUUGCUAAUUCUCAUCUCUGGUGGUUUGGAGUGCCUACUAGUUUUCCUUGAAUUGGCAACUUGUGGGGACAGAUCUACUGGCUAUGACAGCAGAAUUCUUCUUUCUCUAAUUCUUAGACACAAGGUGACCUCUCACCUCUGUUUCUGUUACAUCCCCUCCUUGCUAUGAUGGAGUGAAUUCUAGGAACUGUAGGCUGAAACCAACCAUUUCUCCCUAAUUGCUUUUUGUUGGGUGUUUGGUUACUGCAAUGCUUAAAGAAAUUAAUACUGUAGUCAUAUUAUCUACUUUGAAGGAUUUAUAUUUUGCUGAGAGCCAGAAGGUGGUGCUAGUCUUGGACAACCUUGACAUUUUCAACAAGCCAUAAGCCGUAUCUAUGGAUUCCAUGUUACCUUUUUCUAAAUAGCUCUCACAGUUACAUGCUCAUAAAAUCUAGAGACAGGCAGAAUACAGAAGUCAAAAAUUAAGGUGUGCUCUCUUUAAACUCAUAUGGAGGUCUGCAACCCCAGCAUGACCCUUUUGUGGAAAGCCAAGGCAUUAGAAGGUACGUAGGAUGAAACUAAGUCACAAGGGUACAUGUGCUGACAGGUUUCUUAGCUUAGAAAAAGAUGGUCCUUAUAUACUGCUCUGGUUCCCUCCUGCAUAUCUUAGAAUUAUCAGAAGAGCAGCUAGGACAUAGAGAAGGAUGGUGGCUGGCUUCCUACUGGUCAAGUAAGCAUACAAUUUUAAAAUGAAAUCUACCUAGCUAAUCCUUCAUCUUGAAUAUAUAAGCCUUCAAAAUUGUGAGAUAUACAUUUUAUAAUUUAAAACAAUAAAUCUAUAAUACUUUAUUGUGAUUGUUCAUGCUGUCUAGUGUAUGUUUUCUUAUGUAUUUACAGAAAUGAACAACAACAAAAAGCUCACAUGAUGUUCUCAAGCAUAAACAGUGCUAGCUUUCUGCUGGUUGUCAUAGAAGAUCCCGACUCAGAACUCUGUGUUCUGGCAGAUUAUUGUAUCACUUUCAAACUUUGUAACUAUUUGCAAGACAAUUUUCUAUUUCAGUGUCAUGAGCUGUCUGUAAGUGUUUUCUCCACUGAACAUGUCCACCCUUCUCUGGCACCUGGGAUGAAUUCUCAAGAGGCUUUGAAAGAAGUGACACCUUGGUUACUGUGAUGUGUUCAUGCCAUGAAGAACUUGGGAAGAAGAUUGGAUCAAACGUGAUGAUAGUGACUACCCUGCAGUUACUAGACUAUGGCCUGUGCUGUUGGAGAUCUGAGGUUAUUAAUGGAGAUGUUAUAGCUGAUAUCCGGGAAAUCAGUCCCCUGCAAAGUGAAGACCACCUGUGCUGUGAUAUUUUAAUCUUUAUCAUCUAAAUAGGUUAAAAAAAUGACACUUCCAAAGGGCUGAGGCAGGAGAAUUCCAAGUUUGAGGGAAGCCUGGACUAUUUAGGAAAAACAUCUGUUACAAAGAAGAAAACAAAAAAGAAAUUUCUAUUACUUUAUUCCUUUAAACCCCAUCAGCUGUGUUUUAUUGUAUUUGAAUCUCUGAAUAUAUAGUUUUCAACUGACAGAUGUAUGAAAAAGCUGUGUAUAAUAUAUACAGUAGAUUGUAUAUAAUAUGUAGUACUUAUAU
ensembl:lncRNA